rnacentral:rRNA from 1 species
GGGAACGUGCCCUUUGGUUCGGAACAACUCAGGGAAACUUGAGCUAAUACCGGAUGUGCCCUUCGGGGGAAAGAUUUAUCGCCAUUGGAGCGGCCCGCGUAGGAUUAGCUAGUUGGUGGGGUAAAGGCCCACCAAGGCUACGAUCCUUAGCUGGUCUGAGAGGAUGAUCAGCCACAUUGGGACUGAGACACGGCCCAAACUCCUACGGGAGGCAGCAGUGGGGAAUCUUGCGCAAUGGGCGAAAGCCUGACGCACCAUGCCGCGUGAAUGAUGAAGGUCUUAGGAUUGUAAAAUUCUUUCACCGGGGACGAUAAUGACGGUACCCGGAGAAGAAGCCCCGGCUAACUUCGUGCCAGCGGCCGCGGUAAUACGAAGGGGGCUAGCGUUGCUCGGAAUUACUGGGCGUAAAGGGAGCGUAGGCGGAAGAGAUUAGUCAGAGGUGAAAGCCCCAGGCU